CACGGUCUGAUCCCCGAGCUCGCUUCCGCUGAGGCAUCGCUCCACGACAUCCGGCUGCGCCUCGAGGUACGCCACGAACGGGAGCCUCUCGUCGGGCUCGAGCGGGUGCCUGACGAGGGCGUUGAACACGGCGGCGGCAUCCUUCCUGGAUUCGAAGAAGAGCUUCGGGAGGUGGAUGACGACCGCCGCGAGGAGCCCCUCGGAGGCGAACACGGCCUCGGCGAGCUGCGAUUGAAGCGCGGGAUCCGGCGGAUUCUCGCCGUCGCCGUACAUGACCGCCCUCAUGUCUCCGAGGUACUUGCCGCACGAUUCCUGAUCUUUUUCAGCCCCCGAGUCCUUCAGGUGGUCGAGUGCAUUCGCGAGUUUGAGCGCGAGCUCCUUGGGCGUGCGUUUGUGCUUCUUGAACAAGCUCGUCAUCGCUGCUCCCUGUCGUCACCCGUCACCCCGUGUUCACUCCUUCCCUUUCUCUGUUUCCUCAGAUCGCCUCGCAAUCGACGGG
rnacentral:lncRNA from 1 species